rnacentral:rRNA from 1 species
CGACCUCGGGCUGUACGGGACUACCCGGUGGAUUUAAGCAUAU